rnacentral:piRNA from 1 species
UAUAUGUGAGGUGGGUGCUUGCAGU